CCAAGACUUUCAGGAGAAAAAUGAGUUUAAUGAGAAGAAAGGCAUUCAGUGAACAUUUCACACUUGAGUGCAAAAAUAGGAAAAUGCCAGAAGAAGCAAAGGCUUUCAUCCCAGCAAGACAAAAAGAGCCUUAAGAGGGUGAGACUGAAAUGGGACAGUGUCAGACAGCAACCAGAAUCCGGAGGAGCCUGAGAAUAGAGCUCCUGGCCAGAUACUCACAGGACUGAAGGCUUGGAUGCUUACUUAAGGUCUGCUUUUCCUUGGAGGACUGCAUCUGUACAAGAUAAGGCAGAAUGGACAAACAGGACUAACAAAACCACAACAGGCCCAGCCUACACCUUAGCCUGGAGAGCUCAAAGUCAUCCUUGUGUUUCACUCAUAAUACAACCCAGCUUUCCAAAGCUACAGCAGGCCACACAGAGUUGGAGACAAAUGCCUACACAAAGGAGGUUUCUCUGCCUGACUGGUCCUUUCGACUUGGAUCUCUACUGAAUACUCUGAGGAAGACAGAGAGUUUGAUUUCCUGAGAUUCUGAUAUCCAGACAAAUUGCAACACCAUCUCAUCCUCAUUUCACUAAUGAGAAACUGAGGCACCAUUGGGCUAGUUUACUUGUCAAAGUCACACUUGAAAUUGGGAUGCUUAUCUCCUGGCCCUGCUGCUUCUUGGCAGCACCCUGUGACCUGCCCUGCUAAAUUGGCUUGUGCUUCUGAUCUUAUCCCUCACCAGGCUCUAAGGAGAAAACAAAUCUAUGCCUUCUUUUUGCCUAGAGUAGAAGAUCCAUUUCCACUAAGACUAUCACUGUGUUGGUUCUAAUGGGUCAAUUUUUCCUUCUUGCCAUAGAUUUUUCUGUUAUCAUCAGUGAGUGACUAAACACCUCUUUCAGCAGGGUAAGCAACUUCAAGAGGAGCCCAUGGUGUCUCAAGUGGACUCUUACCCACUUCUAAACAGUUUCAAGGCACUCCUACUUGUUACUAACUGUUGUCAUAAGAAUAGCAAUAUUGAUAUAACUAAUGUCAAUUCUUUUCAGUUGAUGAUCAUCGUCAUAUAGAUCAUCACCGCAUUGAUCAAUUUAUUUGGGUGUCCAGCAAACAUUUAUUUUAGUUCAAGUUUUGUGCCAGGCACUAAGAAUACAAGUAUAAUGAAGUAGAAACACAUGUUAUUUUCUUAGCAGCAGACAAUUUUGCUAGAGAGAGACCCAAUACCAUGGGUUAUUCUUUGGUUACUCUGCUUAUGACAAAAAGGUCCUAGAGAGAUUGAAUAUCUUCUCCCCAAGAUUUCUGAGAAGUUGGUGGAGCUAUUCUUCAUGACACAGAAACAGGAUUUAUCUUCUGAGUAAAGGGGAGAUGGCAAGAGGAGAAGAAUGGAGAAGCUGGGGAGGAAGAGGCAGGGGCCAUGCUCUGUAGGCUGGCCUAAGGUCUUUCCUCAGGACUCCGUAGAUCUUUAACAAGAUUGCUCAAGUCACAUAUUGGCUGGAGUGGAUGAGCUUGAUUUGUGGAAACCGAGGAAGAGGGUUGAUGAGCAGAAAAGAAGGAAGAGCACUGGUAGUGGAUAAGCUGGGAUGGGAAGAAGGAAGGCUUCCCUAGACUGUGCUUUCAAAGAAUAUGAAAGCCCAAACCAGGCCCUCAGAAGCUCAUGGCCCAGGAAUUUGGCAGAUGAUAAAACUGGGGCAGGGCUCUAGAAUAUAGGGGAGCAUGGUAAGCAGUAAGUACCCCAAGAAUAGGCCAUUUACCUCUGCCUAGAAAUUACACAGUAGGAGGUGACAGGCCACCUAUAAUAAAAAUGAACAGAAAGUCUCUGGACAGACAUCAGGAGGGCAUUGGUUAGCUGUGAAAAUGCAGAGACACAUUGAGUAUUUGCUGUGUCUGGGAAGUCAAGUGCAAGGAAGUACAGAGAGAAACUGGCUGGUGAGGAAGAUGGGCCACACCUGGGUUGGGGGGAACGUAUGGCAGAGCAAAGGGUCACUGUCAAGAGUUUUGGAACUUGUAGCAAGAUGUUUUUAUUCUAAGAAUAGGGAAAAGCCUGUGUUUUAUACUGAAGAAAUUCAGUCCAGGUAAAGCAAUAAGGCUAUUAGGCAGAAUGGACCAGCUGCCUGGGGAAUUGGGCAGAAAUCAUCACCCCUAUCAAUGGGUCUACCAAGGACACCCACAUUGGAAUAGGUGGCCUUGUGGGCAGACACUGUAAAAAGCCAGUAAGACCUGCUCUUGGCUUGGUGCAGGUGUGUUACUUACUUGACACCAAGCAGGUGGGUUGAGAAUGCUGUUUGACUACAGGAAUAUUAUGGAGCACAUGCUAUCUCUAGGUAUGAGCUCUCUGCUUGGGUCAGGGAGACAAUCUAGAGUGUUCUUUCUCUACUUUAGGUAACAUGGAAUGUGGAAGUCACCUCUGCUGAUCUGUAGCAUCUACUAUCAGGUUUGGACAUUUAUUUGGGAAUGUAUUAUGUGCCAGUCUUGGUGACAAAUACUUGCACAUUGGUUAGUUCCCUUACUCUUCUCAACAAGCCUGAAUGGAUGUUGGUGCUUCUUUGUGUUGUUAUCUCUUCACUGAUAGGUAUAGUAUCCAGAGGUCACAUGAGUAAGUUCAAUAAUUGGAUGAGAAAAACAGAGUUUGAACUUAGAAAAAUUAAAUACUUCAGAUUCCUUUAUUAACACUAAAGCAAGCUUCAUGGCACUGUGGUCUAUAAAUUUUUUUUUUUAAAAAGAUGCCACACUCUAAAACUAAAGAAGUUCACUUUCUGGAGGGAAAACAGCUUUACAAAUAUCUCCUUGCAAUGAAUCAUUGUGACCUUUACAAUUCCAGGAGGCAGGUGCCAUUAUUACCCACAUUUUACAAAUAAGGAUACUGAGACACAGAGAGGUUGAAUCAUUGUCCCUGUGUUACAUGCUUAAAAGUGGAAAGCAAGGAUACAGAGGCCAGCCCUUAACCUCAGCACUAUACCAUGCUCUGACCUAGAGUUGGUGACAUCAUUACUCCCUACUCCAUGACCGGUAACUCUGAGAUAAUGAUUCUCAGUUGGGGGUGAUUUUUCCUCCUAGCCAUAGGUAACCAUAUCUGGAGACAUUUAACAGUCCUCACUAGGUGAGAGGGUACUUUUGGAGUUUAGUGGGUAAAGAUCAGGUAUGACGCUGAACAUGUCAUUAUGCACAGAACAGCUGCCACAACAAAGAAUUAGCCACCCCAAAUGCCUACAGCACAGAUGCUGAGAAACCCUGCUCUCCUAGAGCACCUGGGAGACUGCUGUAAGGCAUGGCCUCUUGUCUGUCUUGCUGUGUGGUGAGCUUGCCUAUGCCUACCACAAAGCUGAGCCUGCAGUGAAGAUCUAUAAAUGUCUUUGGAAUAAAGAAAUAAAUGAAUGAAUGAAAAAACAUACAACCAGGAUUGGAAAUAUCAAUUAAUUCUGGCCAUUAUUCAUUAAAUCAUACACUUUGAUUUUAAAAAACAAUACACAAAUAAUGAGCUGGAAAUCACUGUCCCCAAAAUGAUUUUCAGUGGGAGAAGCAGCAGACAAGCACACAGAACUAUGGGCCAAUGCAAAAAAGUGAGGCACAGAGAGAGUCAUCUGGGGCAAGGAAGUUCCAGUCUCAGGCUUCAGUGAGAAAUGUCCCUUGGCAAAUAAAGUGAUGGCUUAAGAUCUACUGGGCACACUUGGAUUUUCAUUUUUGAUUUUUUAAACAUAUGAACUCAAUUAAUAUUUGGAACAGGGUGAGAAUGUUGGAUGACACUAAAAAGCAUCUCCCUCUCUACUUUCCUGUGCUGCUAUCCAAGGCUGGUUUCCCUGCAUCCUCCUUAUUGUGGAUAUUCAAGAUUGGUAUUGGAGCAAACAGACAAAAAAUACCAAGUGAUGACUAAUUAAUUAAAG